GAAAGAAAGAAAGAAAGAAAGAAAGAAAGAAAGAAAGACCUUGGUGUAGAUCUGGAGUCCUGGGAAGAUCAUGCUCCUCACCAGCUGCCUAAGUGGGUCUGCCUGCCGUCAUCAUCUGGGGUUCCCAACGAGCAGCAGUGAUUGCCAACAAAGUUUUGACUCAAGAACUUUCUCCAUUAGCAGAGGACAGUGACGAUGCAUGAAGCAGAAAGAACACCGCAUAAUUCUUCAGCUACCUGAGUUCAGCAGCGCUUUGGGAAGACAUAUUUCAGGACCAGACUGUGCAUGGAUGAAAAUAUUGGAAUCAAUCCAGUUCCUACCUGAUGCAAGUGAUUAUCACAUUGUUAAUUUGAUAUUAAUGUCAGUCCAGAAGUUAUUUAUUUAUUUAUUUAUUUAUUUAUUUAUUUAU